rnacentral:rRNA from 1 species
CCUACGGGAGGCAGCAGUGAGGAAUAUUGGUCAAUGGGCGAGAGCCUGAACCAGCCAAGUAGCGUGAGGGAGUACUGCCCUAUGGGUUGUAAACCUCUUUUGUCGGGGAGCAAAAGCUGGACGUGUCCGGCUGUGAGAGUACCCGAAGAAAAAGCAUCGGCUAACUCCGUGCCAGCAGCCGCGGUAAUACGGAGGAUGCGAGCGUUAUCCGGAUGUAUUGGGUUUAAAGGGUGCGCAGGCGGAUUUUUAAGUCAGCGGUAAAAUCGUGGGGCUCAACCCCAUCCAGCCGUUGAAACUGGGGAUCUAGAGUGUGCGAGAGGUAUGCGGAAUGCGUGGUGUAGCGGUGAAAUGCAUAGAUAUCACGCAGAACCCCGAUUGCGAAGGCAGCAUACCGGUGCACAACUGACGCUCAGGCACGAAAGCGUGGGUAUCGAACAGGAUUAGAUACCCGGGUAGUC